ACCUGACCCAGCAACGCCGCGUGAAGGAUGAAAUCCCUCGGGAUGUAAACUUCGCAAGAACGGGAAGAAUAAGCCGGUGUCAACACCACCGGUGAUGACGGUACUGUUUGUAAGCUCCGGCUAACUCCGUGCCAGCAGCCGCGGUAAUACGGGGGGAGCAAGCGUUGUUCGGAUUUACUGGGCGUAAAGGGCGCGUAGGCGGCCUCUGCAAGUCGACUGUGAAAUCUCCGGGCUUAACCCGGAACGGUCAGCCGAUACUGCAGGGCUAGAGUGCAGAAGGGGCAACUGGAAUUCUCGGUGUAGCGGUGAAAUGCGUAGAUAUCGAGAGGAACACCUGCGGCGAAGGCGGGUUGCUGGGCUGACACUGACGCUGAGGCGCGAAAGCCAGGGGAGCGAACGGGAUUAGAUACCCCGGUAGUCCUAGCCUUAAACGAUGAAUGCUUGGUGUCUGGGGUUUUAUAGUCCCCGGGUGCCGUCGCUAACGCUUUAAGCAUUCCGCCUGGGGAGUACGGUCGCAAGACUG
rnacentral:rRNA from 1 species